CCUACGGGAGGCAGCAGUGAGGAAUAUUGGUCAAUGGGCGGAAGCCUGAACCAGCCAAGUAGCGUGCGGGAUGAAGGCCCUACGGGUCGUAAACCGCUUUUGCACGGGGAUAACACCCUCCACUUGUGGAGGUCUGCAGGUACCGUGCGAAUAAGGGCCGGCUAAUUCCGCGCCAGCAGCCGCGGUAAUACGGAAGGCCCGAGCGUUAUCCGGAUUCAUUGGGCUAAAAGGGAGCGUAGGCGGGCGUUCAAGUCAGCUGUAAAAUCGCGCGGCUCAACCGCGCCCCGCAGUUGAAACUGGACGCAUUGAGUUCACAACAGGCAGGCGGAAUUCGUGGGGUAGCGGUGAAAUGCAUAGAUAGCACGAGGAACCCCGAUUGCGAAGGCAGCCUGCCGGGGUGCGACUGACGCUGAGGCUCGAAGGUGCGGGUAUCAAACAGGAUUAGAUACCCGAGUAGUC
rnacentral:rRNA from 1 species